UACGGGGGGGCAAGCGUUGUUCGGAAUUAUUGGGCGUAAAGGGUUCGUAGGUGGCCGGCUAAGUCAGACGUGAAAUCCCUCAGCUUAACUGGGGAACUGCGUCUGAGACUGGUCGGCUUGAGUGCAGGAGAGGAACGCGGAAUUCCAGGUGUAGCGGUGAAAUGCGUAGAUAUCUGGAGGAACACCGGUGGCGAAGGCGGCGUUCUGGACUGCUACUGACACUGAGGAACGAAAGCCAGGGGAGCAAACGGG
rnacentral:rRNA from 1 species